AAUUAUACAGGUUUUACAGCGAGGGGUUACUACCUUUGAUAAUUGAAAUGGUUUUGAAAAGCUUUGCUUCGCCCACUCACAUUUUCUAUUUUGCACCCCUCCAGGUUCUAGUAGUAAAGUUUUUGUAUCAACGAGGAUUCGUGGCACUUUCCUGUACAUGUGGCUACUUAUGAUGGUAUAGUCAUUAUCUUACCUUACUAUAUUUUACUUAUGCUUUGUAUCACGUGUGAAAUGGGUCCAUACCCGCUCACCAAGCACUAGUGUACUUAGGCACUUUUAGGCUUAAAUUUAUUCAUAGUUUACACCUUAUCACACUUAUGGCUUCGUUACAUUCCAGGUGUCGGCCAGCACAGCUCGAUUUGGAGUCUUAGUGGAUAUUCCGAGUCGGGGUGUGUCAUCAAUACUAUCACUUUAAGAACCGACUUUUACUACUUUUUGUAAAUAAGAAAAAUUGCUAGUCUUUACUCUCAAUGAACAUGAACAUUGAACAACAUACAUUUAGGAAACCAUUCCGAAGGGAAAGAGAUCAUUUCCGAAUCUUUCCCUUCAAAGCCCAGGGAUCAAGUGAUCCGGACCUUUAAAAUUUAAUCCAAAGACCAAAAAUUAUUGUAAAUUUUACUUUUUUUUACUAACUUAUCUGUUUUUAACUGUUGGAUUAAAUUUAAAGGUUCAGAUCAUUUGAUCCCUGAACUUUAUAGGAAAAGAUCUAAAGAUGAUCUCUUUCAAUUCCGAAGGCCCAAAACGAAAAGGACAACCGUGUUGCUUGCUCUGAUGAUCCUAUUUUCUUUGGACCUGGCUUCUCUGGCCUCCAACUUCCCAUACACUCUUAUCCCCUCCUAUUUAUGCGAUCACGAUUAAGCUACGUCAACAUUUUAUAUUACUAUUUCUUUUUAUCUUAUUAUCUCUAUAAAAAAAAUUCAAAUUAAAAUGUUGACGUGACUAAAUCGUAACGGUAUAAAAUAAGAGAGAAUGAGAAUGCAUGAAAAAUGGAACGGCAGAGAAGUCGGGUCCAUUUUCUUUUGCGAAUUGCUGAACCGAAACCGCGUUUAAAGUUCCGUGGUGUGAUGGCGUCGACCUUCCCAUGUGACAUGCCACUUGUCACUUCACUUUGCAACUCUCUCUCUCUUUUCUUUUCUUUUUUCUUGUUUUUUUAAGAAGACGUGUAAUGUCUUGAUUUAUUCUUUUUAUUCCAAUCAAAAUGUUUUGUUCUCAAUCGCAAUUCUAAAAUAUCUAUAGGCUUAUUUAUUGAUUUGCCGAUUGAAAUUGUCUUUAAUUUCACUACAUUUUAGAACUGAAUUUGCCUCACUGUGCAUUCUAAAAUGGUCAAAAUCAAAUUAUUUCACCGUCAUUAUCGUUCAUACUUACAUAAAUUUGACAGUUUUAAAGGUUUAAGACAGUCUAAAAAUUUCAUACCUCUCUAACCACAAUAGCUCAUCUUUGCCAUCAUGGUGUGAAAUGUCCAAACUACUCUUUAAUUUAACGUACAUGAAACUAAAUUGAUGCAAAUAGGGCGAAAUAGCUCAACAUACAUAUUGAGUUACCCAUGCACUUGACUAUGUCAUGUUGCUACGCAUAUUACAUUUUACAAAGAUUGUUUUGUCUUCAUGUAAGAGGUUUUUAAUUUAAAUUUCAUGAAAGACGAGUUUAAUAUUUACCUAAUCAAAACUAUAAGGCAUACCAACGGUUCAAAAAUGAAUUUGUAUGUCUAGUCGACGUAAGAAAUUUGGGAAAAGCAAAAGCCAAACUAGCUGUGCAACUCUCUCUUUUUAUUUCUUUUUUAAGAAGACGUGUAAUAUCUUUAUUUAUUCUUUUUAUUCCAAUCAAAAUGUUUUGUUCUCAAUCGCAAUUCUAAAAUAUCUAUAGGCUUAAUUAUUGAUUGCCUAUUGAAAUUGUCAUUAAUUUCACUUUACAUUUUAGAACUGAAUUUGCCUCACUGUG
rnacentral:lncRNA from 1 species